rnacentral:rRNA from 2 species
CUGUCACUUACAGAUGGGCCCGCGGCGCAUUAGCUAGUUGGUGAGGUAACGGCUCACCAAGGCCACGAUGCGUAGCCGACCUGAGAGGGUGAUCGGCCACACUGGGACUGAGACACGGCCCAGACUCCUACGGGAGGCAGCAGUAGGGAAUCUUCCGCAAUGGACGAAAGUCUGACGGAGCAACGCCGCGUGAGUGAUGAAGGUUUUCGGAUCGUAAAACUCUGUUGUUAGGGAAGAACAAGUAUCGGAGUAACUGCCGGUACCUUGACGGUACCUAACCAGAAAGCCACGGCUAACUACGUGCCAGCAGCCGCGGUAAUACGUAGGUGGCAAGCGUUGUCCGGAAUUAUUGGGCGUAAAGCGCGCGCAGGUGGUUCCUUAAGUCUGAUGUGAAAGCCCACGGCUCAACCGUGGAGGGUCAUUGGAAACUGGGGAACUUGAGUGCAGAAGAGGAAAGUGGAAUUCCAAGUGUAGCGGUGAAAUGCGUAGAGAUUUGGAGGACACCAGUGGCGAAGNCGACUUUCUGGUCUGUAACUGACACUGAGGCGCGAAAGCGUGGGGAGCGAACAGGAUUAGAUACCCUGGUAGUCCACGCCGUAAACGAUGAGUGCUAAGUGUUAGAGGGUUUCCGCCCUUUAGUGCUGCA